GUGCUGGUUCCAGGGUCCCGUGACUAAGGGAACCUUGACCUGGUGCAGCAGUUUCCAAGCAGGAAGGGGUCUUGAAACCUCGAGGGAGACGGGCCUUCCUACGGGUUUAAGACUGGGGGUUCCUGCUCUCCUGAUGGAAGACCAACCAAUUUGCGUCUUUCAUUUCCAUUUCCCAGCCAAAAGGAAAGAGAAGUUGAACUAAACUAGAAAAGAAAAGAAAAGUAAAGUAAACCUUUGAGUAACCUGAUGCUUAAGAAGCCUAAUUAACUCCCCAAAUCACCAGUAAAGGAUUUUUCAACGUAGAGGACGGGUGCGGAUGGAUUCCUUUAAAUAGCCGGUUCCCCUAGUGCCCGGACAAGUUGGGUUCCAGUCACACAAUGUUGUUUGUGAAGCUUCAAGAGCAGUCCUGUUGUGUAAAGAAAAACUAAUGUGGAAUUUCUUCCGAGUAUUGUGGGGCAAUUUAUCAUCAUUGCUUGUGACAAAGAAACAAAUGUAUUUUCCUUCCUAAAAACAUUUAUUUGGAAGGCGUAUUUUACACAAAUGUAAAAGGAGAGUUUAUCUUCAUUUCCCCCUUUUUAAUGAAAUGAAACAUUUUAUCCUUUUUUUGAAAAGUGGACGUUUUCUUCCAUAAUAAAAUUAAAAACGACCAGGAAAUUAAGUUUUGACCCCUUGUUGCAGCAAUUUGUUGAUGAGACCGUUUUAAAUCUAAGCACAAAUAACUCAUGACUCACACUGUAGCUUAUUUUAACUCACUCUGGCUGCUGUUCUGUCAGUAGACUAGAAUGUUCUGAAGUGGUUGUCAUCAGACGCUCACCGGAUCUGGGGAUUUGUCUCCCAGAAAUGUCAUGGUCUCCUCGACAGCAGCUGCGGGUCCAGCUGAAGCCCUAAUCUGUGCUGAGUCCCGGCGGCCCCUCGAGCCCCUGCAAGGCUGGCUUCUGCAGAGCCACCUCGCUCGUAGCCGUCCCCCAGCACAACACGGACGGCCUGUGUGUCAUCUUUACCUUUUAAAUAAAAAAUAUUUAUGUAAAUAAUAAUCCAAAAACAAUCGGUGAUUUUCUAGUUAUAAAAAGUGAUAUAUAAUAUAGACAAAGAUUCGAACUUAUUUAUAUCGAGGCUCUGCCAGGGACCAUCUCACAAAUCUUUCACUAUUAUCCAUCCAACUCUUAUCUGUUCCCCAGAUUCAAGCUUAUAAAAGGUCUUUGGUUUCAACUGUCUUUCUUCUUAGAGCCCAGCGUCUUCUGAGGCCCUUAGUACCAUCUCUAGCAUUGGUUCUGACUCAGAGGUCUUAAAGGGGCCGAGUGGUUUUCAUCGGAUGUUUUCUGCGGUGCCAGUGACUUUUCUCUCCAGCUGGAUUGUAAGUUCCUUCAGGUGGGAACUAUUUUAUCCUUCUGAGCAGCUUUCCAGUGCGUCGGGUGUACUGUGUUCAGUAACUACGUGUGUGCCUCCAGGCCUCCCAAUACAGACGCGCUGUCAUUUCUUGUUCUCUCGUCUGUCUUUAUAAAACUCAUCUCUCACCAUUUUCCUUCUCAAAACCCUGCCAGCGCUCCCCGUUUCCCCAUGAAUUAAAUACAGAGUCCCCCGUGAGCUAUUUAAGACCCCACCUGCGGUCCGAACCAGCUUCCGCCAUUCCCAAUGACCCAAUGACCGCUGCACCAGUCUGAAUUUCCUGCCGGGUUUGCAGCCGGAGGCCACACUCAACAUGGGUCUCUCUCAGUUCCCACAGCUGGGUGUGCGUCAAAAUCACCUGGGAAGUUUAAACAGAAGAAUCUCCAGGCUCAGCGCCAAGCUUAGUGUAUCGGAGCCUCAGGGUGGGGGCCCUGGCUGUAUGUUAAACUGGUGCCCCCUGCUGAUGCCACACCACCCCGCGCAAUUCAGGGCCUCUGAUUUUGGAAUCUCUCAGGAGCAGCCUCAUCAGCCUUCUGCGUGUAGCUCUAAAUCCACUAUCCUCCAUGGAGACAGACACCACUAAGGACAAGCACCUGGAUUAUCUCCUCCUGCAAAGAGAUACGGGCUGGUGGGAAAGCUCCGACCAGCAAGGCCAUAUGCUCCCCCUCCCCUACCUGAAAGCCCAAAUAAAAACCCUUCCUUUUAGGUUUUCGGGGAGUUUGAGAUUUCAGCGUUAGCUGCCCUCUCUCCUUG
ensembl:lncRNA